GAUUGUGGAUCAACAGGCUGGGCCUGGACUCCAUGAUAAAUAUUUUCAAGGAGUGGGACGCAAGACUCGAACCCGGAUCCUCCAGAAUGGAAAGCAGAUGCGUUUCCACGCGGCCAAUCCUACCGACCAUCGAACUUCGUUGUUCAAUCUUUCGGUUGACUCCUUCACUAGUGUUUGCAGUGGCGGAACUUAAAAUUUUUGGCACUCCGCAAAAUAUUGUUCGGAUCCCUACCACGAAAAAAUUUUUAUUAGAAAAUAAUAAAAAAAAGCACAAAAUUGCACAUUUAAAACACAAUUGAAAUUUAUCAAAAGAAAAUAUAUUUAAAAUUCUUCUUCCUGGAUUUUAAAUUUGCAAAAUCUCUAAUCACAUCUUUUAUUUCCAUAUUUUUGGCUACUGCUCCUACUGUCACACUGCUCUGAUUCAACAAAUAUUUCACUCUUUU
rnacentral:lncRNA from 1 species